rnacentral:misc_RNA from 1 species
CCGAAUGUUACCAAACAAACCACUGUGAACCGUCCCUUUAGCUGCUUCGGCGGGCGAUCCCAGGGCGGGAUCCCGGGCUCCUUACGGGGUGCUCGCCGGCGGCCACUUUCUAGCUCUGUUUCCAUAGGGGACUUCUGAGGUAAACCAUAAAAUAAUCA